rnacentral:rRNA from 1 species
GUAUGUUAAUAGCAUAUUCAUUUGACGUUAGCUGCAGAAGAAGCACCGGCUAACUCCGUGCCAGCAGCCGCGGUAAUACGGAGGGUGCGAGCGUUAAUCGGAAUUACUGGGCGUAAAGCGCAUGCAGGUGGUUUGUUAAGUCAGAUGUGAAAGCCCGGGGCUCAACCUCGGAAUUGCAUUUGAAACUGGCAAACUAGAGUACUGUAGAGGGGGUAGAAUUUCAGGUGUAGCGGUGAAAUGCGUAGAGAUCUGAAGGAAUACCGGUGGCGAAGGCCGGCCCCCUGGACAGAUACUGACACUCAGAUGCGAAAGCGUGGGGAGCAAACAGAAUUAGAUACCCUGGUAG